UCCAUGUUCUGAUGGUUAAGUGCUGUUGCCUGACCUUUGCUAUUUCUGCAUUCUCUCAUUCCCAUGGAUACCAGAGAGCCCAGUUCCAUAAUCACCUCCUCUAUCUAUCCUGGCAGAGAGAGAACUACCAACUUCAGUGAGAAUGGCACCCCCUCUUAUGCUUUUUGUUUUGGGAGAAGGAGCAGCCCGAGGGUCAUCCUAGAAAACAAAGUUAUUGGUUCCUCUGUUCAUCUAAUUAAGCCAUCCAGGCCACCUACCAGCCUUUCCAUCCCCAUUGAUCAGGAUGGCAUCAUGUAAUCAUGCCCAAGGAUACUGGUAAUACUGGGCCAUGGAGUGAAUCCAUGCUUGCGUAGGAAUGGGACCAUCAGUACCAGGUGAUGAGACAGCAAUAGGAGACCAUCAUUUCUCUAAGAGUGGGAUGACCUGGAGAAAGAACCAACAUUGAUUCUCCUUGAGGUCUGGGUAACUAAACUCAUCCUCAACAGGGAACAAUCCCAGACAACAUCUGCUUGGAGACAUCAAAACUAAGAAGUAGAAUGGAUAGCAAGAGCUGAAUCAUCUUGGUGGUCACAGGAUAGCAAGCAGGAAGAUGUUCUUCCUGAGGCGACCCACCUCUUGUAAACCAGUGAAGGGGAGAAACGUGGGCCUGGGCCUUCUGGCCAAGUCUGAGGACCCUGAUGGACAACAUUCACGCUACAGCUCCCCUUGUCAGGUUGGCUCAGGCUUUGACCUGCUCCAGUGCUGACUUCUCCAUCUGCCCAAUCUGCUUUCUCCCUGUUCCUUUCACAGGUAGCAUACAGGCACACUGAAAGGGAUAUGACUGAUGGAGAUCUUCUGCAUCCUUUACGACUUUGAGGAAACCAUUCUACCCAGAUACCAUAGCCACCUUGGUUUCCUGUCUUGGGCAAGGUAGUUUUAUGGGUUUCUCCUUGCUGUUUCCUGCCUUAGGAAUUCUUAUUCUACUCUUAGGUCAUGAAUAAAUGAGAUCUUUGCUAACUUCCAAGUGUGUCCAGUCCAUUCAGACAUUUAGCCAAUGGAAUGACCAUCAAGUAGAUGUAGAGACUCACAGGAUGGACUGCAAGACCUACUUGGGAGAGAACUUUGACUUCGCACACUCUAAUAGGAACAUCAUGAGGGGGUCUGGGCCCUUCAUAUAAGUAACAUAUCCAACCCUGUACACAGCAGCUUC